rnacentral:rRNA from 1 species
AGAAUCAACGCUGGCGGCGUGCCUAACACAUGCAAGUCGAGCGCGAAAGGGGAGCAAUCCCCAAGUAGAGCGGCGAACGGGUGAGUAACGCGUGGGUAAUCUACCUCCGAGUGGGGAAUAACAGCGGGAAACUGCUGCUAAUACCGCAUGACAUCGUCGAGCCUUCGGGCAUGACGAUCAAAGCCGGGGACCGCAAGGCCUGGCGCUUGGAGAGGAGCCCGCGUCCGAUUAGCUAGUUGGCGGGGUAAUGGCCCACCAAGGCUCCGAUCGGUAGCCGGCCUGAGAGGGCGGACGGCCACGACUGGGACUGAGACACGGCCCAGACUCCUACGGGAGGCAGCAGUGGGGAAUUUUCGCAAUGGGGGAAACCCUGACGAAGCAACGCCGCGUGGAGGAUGAAGGCCUUCGGGUCGUAAACUACCUGUCGACCGGGACGAACGCUAUAGGGCCCAAUACGCCCGAUAGUCGACUGUACCGUGGAGGAAGCCACGGCUAACUCUGUCGCCAGCAGCCG